CGCAUAUUUUGCCCAGGCGGGGCUCGACCGCCCAUUCAAACGAUGAUCCGGUUCAUAGAAGAUCACCGCGCGGAUCAUGGGGUCGAGCCAAUCUGCCCCGUCCUGCCGAUUGCCCCA
rfam:Loktanella sp. 3ANDIMAR09 PM07_013, whole genome shotgun sequence.